CCUACGGGUGGCUGCAGUGGGGGAUAUUGCACAAUGGGCGAAACCCUGAUGCAGCGACGCCGCGUGGGCGAAGAAGUAUUUCGGUAUGUAAAGCCCUAUCAGCAGGGAAGAAGAAAUGACGUUACCUGAGUAAGAAGCACCGGCUAAAUACGUGCCAGCAGCCGCGGUAAUACGUAGGGUGCAAGCGGUAUCCGGAUUUACGGGGUGUAAAGGGAGGGCAGGCGGCACGGCAAGCCUGAUGUGAAAGCCCGCGGCCCAACCGCGGGACUGCAUUGGAAACUAGCGGGCUGGAGUGCCGGAGAGGUAGGCGGAAUGCGUAGUGUAGCGGUGAAAUGCGAAGAUAUUAGGAGGAACACCAGUGGCGAAGGCGGCAUACUGGACGGUGACUGACGCUGAGGCACGAAAGCGUGGGGAGCAAACAGGAUUAGAUACCCUUGUAGUC
rnacentral:rRNA from 1 species